rnacentral:rRNA from 1 species
AUGAACGCUGGCGGCGUGCCUCAUCCCUGCCAGUCGCGCGAACAGACGAGGAGCUUGCUCCUCUGACGUUAGCGGCGGACGGGUGAGUAACACGUGGAUAACCUACCUAUAAGACUGGGAUAACUUCGGGAAACCGGAGCUAAUACCGGAUAAUAUAUUGAACCGCAUGGUUCAAUAGUGAAAGACGGUUUUGCUGUCACUUAUAGAUGGAUCCGCGCCGCAUUAGCUAGUUGGUAAGGUAACGGCUUACCAAGGCAACGAUGCGUAGCCGACCUGAGAGGGUGAUCGGCCACACUGGAACUGAGACACGGUCCAGACUCCUACGGGAGGCAGCAGUAGGGAAUCUUCCGCAAUGGGCGAAAGCCUGACGGAGCAACGCCGCGUGAGUGAUGAAGGUCUUCGGAUCGUAAAACUCUGUUAUUAGGGAAGAACAAAUGUGUAAGUAACUAUGCACGUCUUGACGGUACCUAAUCAGAAAGCCACGGCUAACUACGUG